AACACGGAGUGGUAUACGAAGUAGCGGACGGGUGAGUAAAGCAUGAGGAGCUGUCCUGUCGAGGGGGAGUAACGUUCGGAAACGGACCCUAAUACCCCAUAGUCCGAGAGGUUAAAGGCAGAGAUGCGCGACGGGAGGUACUCGUGUCCUAUCAGCUAGUUGGUGAGGUAACGGCUCACCAAGGCGACGACGGGUAGCCGGCCUGAGAGGGUGACCGGCCACACUGGAACUGAGAUACGGUCCAG
rnacentral:rRNA from 1 species